rnacentral:rRNA from 1 species
CCUACGGGCGGCAGCAGUGGGGAAUAUUGGGCCAUGGAGGCAACUCUGACCCAGCAACGCCGCGUGAAUGAUGAAGGUCUUCGGAUUGUAAAGUUCUUUUCUAAGGGAAGAAGAAAGUGACGGUACCUUAGGAAUAAGCCUCGGCUAACUACGUGCCAGCAGCCGCGGUAAUACGUAGGAGGCAAGCGUUAUCCGGAAUGACUGGGCGUAAAGGGUGCGUAGGUGGUUUGACAAGUUAGUAGCGCAACUCCGGAGCUCAACUUCGGAACUACUACUAAAACUGUUAGACUAGAGUGCAGGAGGGGUAAGUGGAAUUCCUAGUGUAGCGGUGGAAUGCGUAGAUAUUAGGAGGAACAUCAGGGGCGAAGGCGACUUACUGGACUGUAACUGACACUGAGGCACGAAAGCGUGGGGAGCAAACAGGAUUAGAUACCCUAGUAGUC